AGUUGUAAGGCACAACAAGCCCAAGUCAACCAACCACCAUACACCACGAUGUGGACAUGAUGUGGCAGUCACGCAGCGUGUCUCCCACAUGUCCCACGUCUCUCAUGUCUCUCUACCCCUAUUCCAACCAAGCAACUCUCCCAUAGUUCCCUUGUACUUAGCCUAAGUAACAGGCCAGAGCCAUGUUACAAGGCCUUUCCUUUAUAAAGCCUACCCUAUUGGUAACAUUUGCUCUCUGCCCAAGGAAGAGCUUUAUUUCCUGCAGAAGAUCCAAUGCUCUGUUGUCAAAACAGGUUUCUUCUUCACCUGCAGUUUAGUGCAUUAGCAAAGCAGAGUCUGCAAGGAUAAACCACUGGAUUUCCAGCAUGACUUUCCCCUGUUCCUAUAUCACUAAGGUAAAAUAUAUUUUAACCUUUGUUGGUUUUCUUUUUCCUUCUCAGCAAUCAACCAGCACCUGCAUAAAUUUCAGAGAAAGCAAGACAACAAUUUAUCUGAAACUUUAUGAUUAUGCCUGACAUUAUGCUCUGCCUACAGACACCUGGAGCAGGUGACACAGGAGCAUAUCCAGGUGGGUUUGGAAUGUCUCCAGACAGGGAGGCUCCAGGCCCUCCCUGGGCAGCUGUUCCAGGGCUCUGCCACCCUCAGUGUGCAGAAAAUCUUCCUCAUGCUGAGGUGGAACUUCUUGUGUUUAGUUUAUGUCCAUUGCUCCUCAUGCUGUCCCUGGGCACCACUGAACAGAUCCUGGUACCAUCUCCAAACCCAUAUUCAAGAUGCUUGCAUGUAUUGAUGAGAUUCUCUUUCAGUCUUCUCUGGUGCCAGUGGUGAAACUCCUGUGUCAGGAAGGGAGCCAGCACCAAGGCCUGACCCAUCAGGAAGCUGUUCAGUUGUGGCAGCUGCACUAUGGCAGCAGUUUAGGUCACGCGUGUCCUCUGUCCCCCAGAUUAGUUCCUUGGGAGGUCAGCCGAGCUCCAGAGCUUGUGGCACACAGACCUUGGCAGAUAGGCCGAGGCCUUUCCCUGCCUCCAGGCCGUGCUGGUCCUGAGGGCCUUCCUGAGGCAGGUUAAUGAAGCACCUCUGCACAUGAGCUGUGAAAUUAUAGCCUUUAAUAACCCCAGUUAAGCCUUGAACAGACCUGUUACACUGUGGAAAUCCCCAGAGCAUUUGGCUGAUGGGUGUUUGCCUUGAGCUUGGAGCUGAAAGGAAGGUCAGAUUGCGGCCUACACAUCCCAGGAGGAACCUUAUGAAAAUUAACCUGAGAGCAGCUGGAAAAGGCUAGUCUGACACCUUUUCCUGUGAAUGGGACACAGUCAGGAUCCCCACAGUACCAGGAAGCACCCAACACUCUUACACUCUAUGUGAUGCCGGGCUUUGACCUUGGCAAAGGAGAAACUACUGAUAAGAGUGGCCAGAUAACAGAAACUAUGCCAGAGAACUGUGACAGAGUUUGAAUAAGAGAGCACUGUUUCUUGGAAACUGCUGGGAACACUCAAGUCCCCUUCCUUUGGGCUGAAACUCAGCAGAAAGACUGAGAGCCCUCUUGCUGGAGUGGCAGGAGCUGCUGGUUAAAACUGAGAGUGGAGCCCAGCCACCAGUCCCUCAUCAUGACUUCGAUGGAUAAUUAGUCAGGUUAUCUGAUAUAAUUACACAACAUUCAAGUGCAGGAGUGCAGGAAGAAGUGAUAAAAUCAAGAACAGCUUUAAUGAGGCCAGAAAAGGAAGAAAAAUGGAGUCAACUCAGGGGAACUUCAAGGUCCUUUUGGUGCUAUUCAAGCAAAUAAAUGGGAAUACUGCUAAAACAGAAGAAGCUGGGUGGAGUCAGAAGGUUGAUUUGGAACUAGCAGAGCAUUCAGUGGUUUCAGCAGGGAGCCUUAAAGUUAGAUGGUGUCAGGAACACACGGAGCUGGAUGUUCCCGUGGACUCCUGACUGCUCUUACCUCUCCACAUGGCAGGAAACAGAAGGUGAUGUUUCCAAAGGAACUGACGUACAACCUUGGAAGUCUGUCUCCUGGUUCUAUUGAGAUGAUAGCUAUGGAGUAAACCAAUCCUUCCCCUUCUGCCUCCUCUUGAUACUGUUUAUCCAAACAGAGCUUUAACUAUAUCUCCCUGUUUUAACUACAUCAUUAACUGAAAUGAAGGCACUUGCUAUACUGUGGCAAAUGAAGGUGAUCUGUGUGAUCUUCCAAUGCAGAGUGGUUUUCUCCAUGAAAUUUUUCCUGUUCCUGAGAUGAAUUUCAUUGUCUGAUAUUUUUUUUUUAUUGCUACUCCUGUAUCUUACAAACCCUUAUUGAAAGGGUUUGAUGUUGGGCUUCACUAGAUAAAGCACAGAGAAUCUGUGUUGGACAAAAUCACUGAAUUCAUUGUGCGUGAUCCUCUCUGAAGA